GUGGAUUCUCUUCUGGAAAGCCUAGAAAA
rnacentral:piRNA from 1 species